CUCCUGAUGGUCUAGUUGGUUUAUGACAUUCGGCUGUAACUGAAAAAUUGUAACCGAAGGGUCCCUAGUUCGAUUCUGGGUCAGGAGA
rfam:Trichophyton interdigitale MR816 cont1.79, whole genome shotgun sequence.